GAUGAACGCUAGCUACAGGCUUAACACAUGCAAGUCGAGGGGCAGCAUGGUCUUAGCUUGCUAAGGCCGAUGGCGACCGGCGCACGGGUGAGUAACACGUAUCCAACCUGCCGUCUACUCUUGGACAGCCUUCUGAAAGGAAGAUUAGUACAAGAUGGCAUCAUGAGUCCGCAUGUUCACAUGAUUAAAGGUAUUCCGGUAGACGAUGGGGAUGCGUUCCAUUAGAUAGUAGGCGGGGUAACGGCCCACCUAGUCUUCGAUGGAUAGGGGUUCUGAGAGGAAGGUCCCCCACAUUGGAACUGAGACACGGUCCAAACUCCUACGGGAGGCAGCAGUGAGGAAUAUUGGUCAAUGGGCGAGAGCCUGAACCAGCCAAGUAGCGUGAAGGAUGACUGCCCUAUGGGUUGUAAACUUCUUUUAUAAAGGAAUAAAGUCGGGUAUGGAUACCCGUUUGCAUGUACUUUAUGAAUAAGGAUCGGCUAACUCCGUGCCAGCAGCCGCGGUAAUACGGAGGAUCCGAGCGUUAUCCGGAUUUAUUGGGUUUAAAGGGAGCGUAGAUGGAUGUUUAAGUCAGUUGUGAAAGUUUGCGGCUCAACCGUAAAAUUGUAGUUGAUACUGGAUAUCUUGAGUGCAGUUGAGGCAGGCGGAAUUCGUGGUGUAGCGGUGAAAUGCUUAGAUAUCACGAAGAACUCCGAUUGCGAGGGGCAGCCUGCUAAGCUGCAACUGACAUUGAGGCUCGAAAGUGUGGGUAUCAAACAGGAUUAGAUACCCUGGUAGUCCACACGGUAAACGAUGAAUACUCGCUGUUUGCGAUAUACUGCAAGCGGCCAAGCGAAAGCGUUAAGUAUUCCACCUGGGGAGUACGCCGGCAACGGUGAAACUCAAAGGAAUUGACGGGGGCCCGCACAAGCGGAGGAACAUGUGGUUUAAUUCGAUGAUACGCGAGGAACCUUACCCGGGCUUAAAUUGCAGAUGAAUUAUGGUGAAAGCCGUAAGCCGCAAGGCAUCUGUGAAGGUGCUGCAUGGUUGUCGUCAGCUCGUGCCGUGAGGUGUCGGCUUAAGUGCCAUAACGAGCGCAACCCUUGUUGUCAGUUACUAACAGGUUCCGCUGAGGACUCUGACAAGACUGCCAUCGUAAGAUGUGAGGAAGGUGGGGAUGACGUCAAAUCAGCACGGCCCUUACGUCCGGGGCUACACACGUGUUACAAUGGGGGGUACAGAGGGCCGCUACCACGCGAGUGGAUGCCAAUCCCCAAAACCUCUCUCAGUUCGGACUGGAGUCUGCAACCCGACUCCACGAAGCUGGAUUCGCUAGUAAUCGCGCAUCAGCCACGGCGCGGUGAAUACGUUCCCGGGCCUUGUACACACCGCCCGUCAAGCCAUGGGAGCCGGGGGUACCUGAAGUGCGUAACCGCGAGGAG
rnacentral:rRNA from 1 species